CCACAUAGUAAAAUCAUAAAAAUAUAGUCCCUGAAUAAAAAAGGUGUAAAAUAUUUUAGGCCAAUAUUUUACUUUACAUAUGCUACUUAUUUUACUUUAAGAACUAAACUUAUCUAAAAAUAUAAAAUAAUUAAUUUGUGUGUCAUGUAGGGAGGCAAACGGAUCCGGGUUGGUGGAGCUCAUGCCCCGAUCCGCCCCGACGAGCGAUCAUGGAAAAAAAUAAAUACAUUCGGGGCGGGAAACGGAGUAAAUUUUACGAUCUAGGACCGAUUCAAAACAGAAAACAGAAAAAAUUUUGACCCGUCCCGAAUCUGUUCCGAAUCCGCUCCGCCAUGAUCCGCCCCAAAUCCGUCCAGAAAAUUAUUUAUAUUUUUAAAAAAUAUCUUAAAAAAUAAUAUAUUUAUAAAAAAAAAAAUUUGAGAAAAAAUAUAUUUAUAAAAAAGUUCAAAAUACAAAUAAAUUAGUAUCCUCAUUUCUAAUGUAUUUGAAAUUUUUGAAUUUUGUUUUGAAUUGUGAAUUAUAUUUUUAAUUUUUAUAAUUGAUAUUAUUAAAAUAUAUAUAUAUAUAUAUAAUAUUAUUAAAAAAUUAUUAAUUUAUAUUUUAUAAAAUAUUAAUAAUAUUAUAAUUUUAUAAAAAAUAUUUGUUGGCGUGGCGGAUUCGGGGCACUAGCGGGAGACGGGUUACGAGGCAUGACGGAUUAUGAAAUGUAUUUUUUAAUCCGUCACGAAUUCGGAGCUGGAUUU
rnacentral:lncRNA from 1 species